CGCGCAGGUGGUUUCUUAAGUCUGAUGUGAAAGCCCACGGCUCAACCGUGGAGGGUCAUUGGAAACUGGGAGACUUGAGUGCAGAAGAGGAUAGUGGAAUUCCAAGUGUAGCGGUGAAAUGCGUAGAGAUUUGGAGGAACACCAGUGGCGAAGGCGGAUUGCUGGACAGCAACUGACGGUGAGGCGCGAAAGUGUGGGGAGCAAAACA
rnacentral:rRNA from 1 species